rnacentral:rRNA from 1 species
CGGGCGCGCGCAUAACCAUGCAAGUCGAGCGAGGGCUUAUUUCCCGCAAGGGAGAUGAGUUCCUAGCGGCGAACGGGUGAGUAACACGUGGGCAACCUUUCCUAUCGCGGGGGAUAACACCGGGAAACCGAUGCUAAUACCGCAUGUCGUCACCGGCCGCAUGGCUGGUGAAGAAAGCAGCAAUGCACGAUGGGGUGGGCCCGCGGCCUAUCAGCUAGUCGGUGGGGUAACGGCCUACCGAGGCGAUGACGGGUAGCUGGUCUGAGAGGACGAUCAGCCACACUGGAACUGACACACGGUCCAGACUCCUACGGGGGGCAGCAGGGAGGAAUAUUGCACAACGGGGGGAACCCAGGUGCAGCAACGCCGCGUGAGUGAAGAAGGCCUUCGGGUUGUAAAACUCUUUUCUGAGGGAUGAGAAUGGACAGUACCUCAGGAAUAAGUCUCGGCUAACUACGUGCCAGCAGCCGCGGUAAGACGUAGGAGGCGAGCGUUAUCCGGAUUUACUGGGCGUAAAGGGCAAGUAGGCGGUUAGUCAAGUCAGUUGUGACAGAUCCCGGCUCAACUGGGAGAGGACGAUUGAGACUGGUUGACUAGAGGACAGGAGAGGAGAGCGGAAUUCCUUGUGUAGCGGUGGAAUGCUCAGAUACAAGGAGGAACACCAGUGGCGAAGGCGGCUCUCUGGCCUGCUCCUGACGCUGAAGAGCGAAAGCUAGGGGAGCGAACGGGCUUAGAUACCCCGGUAGUCCUAGCUGUAAACGUUGGGUACUAGGUAUUG